UACAGAGGGGGCAAGCGUUGUUCGGAAUUACUGGGCGUAAAGGGCGCGUAGGCGGCCUGUUAAGUCGAACGUGAAAUCCCCGGGCUCAACCCGGGAACUGCGUCCGAUACUGGCAGGCUUGAAUCCGGGAGAGGUGAGUGGAAUUCCCGGUGUAGCGGUGAAAUGCGCAGAUAUCGGGAGGAACACCAGUGGCGAAGGCGGCGCUCUGGGCCGGAACUGACGCUGAGGAGCGAAAGCGUGGGUAGCAAACAGG
rnacentral:rRNA from 1 species